rnacentral:rRNA from 1 species
AGGGUUUGAUCCUGGCUCAGGACGAACGUUGGCGGUGCGCUUAAUGCAUGCAAGUCGAGGGAGAACCAUUCGUUCCGUAAGGUCCGUAUGGGGAAACCGGCGAACGGGUGCGUAACACGUGAGGAACCUGCCCCGAAGAUCGGGAUAGCCCGGGGAAACCUGGAUUAAUACCGAAUACCCUCUCCGGACCGCAUGGUCUGUUGAGGAAAUGGUCAGCCGCUUCGGGAUGGCCUCGCGGCCUAUCAGCUAGUUGGUGAGGUAACGGCUCACAAAGGCGAAGACGGGUAGCUGGUCUGAGAGGACGAUCAGCCACACUGGGACUGAGACACGGCCCAGACUCCUACGGGAGGCAGCAGCAGGGAAUAUUGCACAAUGGGCGAAAGCCUGAUGCAGCGACACCGCGUGCGGGAUGAAGGCCUUCGGGUUGUAAACCGCUUUCAGGAGGGACGAAAAUGACGGUACCUCCAGAAGAAGGCCCGGCCAACUACGUGCCAGCAGCCGCGGUAACACGUAGGGGCCAAACGUUGUCCGGAUUUAUUGGGCGUAAAGGGCUCGUAGGCGGUUCAACAAGUCGGUCGUGAAAUGCCGGGGCUCAACCCCGGAACGCCGGUCGAAACUGUUGUGACUAGGGGUCCGGGUAGAGGUGAGUGGGAAUUCUCGGGUGUAGCGGGUGGAAUGCGCAGAUAUCGAGAGGAACACCAGUUGCGAAGGCGGCUCACUGGGCCGGUACCGACGCUGAGGAGCGAAAGCAUGGGGAGCAAACAGGAUUAGAUACCUGGUAGUCCAUGCCGUAAACUGUGGAACACUA